UACGGAGGGUGCGAGCGUUGUCCGGAAUCACUGGGCGUAAAGGGCGCGUAGGCGGCCUGAUAAGUAGGGGGUGAAAUCCUGCGGCUUAACCGCAGGGCUGCCUUCUAAACUGUCAGGCUUGAGCACAGUAGAGGCAGGUGGAAUUCCCGGUGUAGCGGUGGAAUGUGUAGAGAUCGGGAAGAACAUCAGUGGCGAAGGCGGCCUGCUGGGCGUGAUCUGACGCUGAGGCGCGAAAGCGUGGGGAGCGAACAGG
rnacentral:rRNA from 1 species